AUUGCUUCUCGGCCUUCUGGCUAAGAUCAAGUGUAGGAAACCAAUUCCUUAAAUCAGGAGCAUGAGCAUAUUUUGAUAGCACAGAGCCAGGUGUACUCAUUAGCAAUAAUGCUCUUUUCUGACUAUGAAACAGAGAUAAUAUGAUAUUAUUGCUAUUAUUAUUAUUAUAUUACACUACUCAGUGAUGUGAUAAUAUGAUGGUUGAAC
rnacentral:snRNA from 1 species